UGCUUCUCUGACUUUCCUUUUCUUUUUCUUUUGAACAUUGUCACCUUGAUCUUUGUCCAAAUCAAUAGUUUGGGGUGGUUCUGGUGUAGGCAUUUGUGAUAGAGUAUUUUCAGCCUGCUAAAAAGAUGAAUGUUCAUACCAUGUUAUUUUCAAUUAAGAAAUACCAACAAGGUAGCGAAUAAGAUAAACAACUUAUUAUGCAAUUUUACCUGAUUUUCGUCUGUGAGUAUUAAAGCAUUAAAGGUUGCAUCAGAACUCACUUCCUUAUCCAUAGUCAUAUCUAAAGUUAAAAAACAAAAAUCAUAAACAUUGCCUCAAUAUAAAUCAUGAUUUAGUGAAUAAAAAUCAUGAUUCUAAAUUCGGCAAACUAUCAAUAUAAAUAUUGCCUCUUUGCAUAAAUGUAAAAUUUUUCUUGCAAGGAUGAUCACGAAUCUAUAGAAAAUUCUAGACUAAGAAAUGAAUAACAAUCAUUCAUAUAAUAAACAACUGUAUGUAGAAAAUUCUAAACUCCAAAAUGAAUGGCACUCAUGAAUGGCAGUAAAAAAUGAAUAUUGUGUAGUUUCUGCAGUGUGGUAUUGGAUAAGUUGUCUUGAGUACAAAUUCACAGUAUAAUUAUACAAUUCACAAAAUAGUAAAUGCUCCAAAGGCUAAGUACACUAAGAUAUAGACAACAUAUAAUUUUAUAGUUCAGAUAUAGACAUAUAAUUAUAUGACUAAUCAAAAUAGUUAAAUUAUAAUUAACCAUAUUAAAUUCAAUACAAAAUAGUGAAAUAAAGUUUCUAAAAUAGGCCAAGGAAACAAUUGCAAUAUCACCGUCUACGACUACUACUGUAGUGUCUAGAAUCUAGAUACACAUGAAUUUUCUUCUUAAAAUUAUCAACAUAAGAUCUUAAAUGUAUAAUCAUAUCAUAUAUAGUCAUAUAUAGUCGUAUAAUUGAAAGCUUCUUCUUCUUUUCUUUUUUUAACCUUUUUUCGAUAACAUAUAAUCAUAUAUAGUCAUAAUAGGUAAAAUUAUAACUAACCAUAUUAAAUUCAAACACAACUUAUAUUAAAAUAGGUAAAAUUAAGAAGAAACAUAAGCAUGAAUCAAAUUAUUGGGAAGAAAAUGAAACAAAUUCAUCAUUGGAAAUGAAUUGAAGGAGAUGGAAAGGAAUUAGAAUCAAACCUGAUGAUGCAACAAUGGAAAAAUCGAAUUAAAGGAG
rnacentral:lncRNA from 1 species